AGACCCGAAACCCGGUGAUCUAGCCAUGGGCAGGUUGAAGGUUGGGUAACACUAACUGGAGGACCGAACCGACUAAUGUUGAAAAAUUAGCGGAUGACCUGUGGCUGGGGGUGAAAGGCCAAUCAAACCGGGAGAUAGCUGGUUCUCCCCGAAAGCUAUUUAGGUAGCGCCUCGUGAAUUCAUCUCCGGGGGUAGAGCACUGUUUCGGCUAGGGGGCCAUCCCGGCUUACCAACCCGAUGCAAACUGCGAAUACCGGAGAAUGUUAUCACGGGAGACACACGGCGGGUGCUAACGUCCGUCGUGAAGAGGGAAACAACCCAGACCGCCAGCUAAGGUCCCAAAGUCAUGGUUAAGUGGGAAACGAUGUGGGAAGGCCCAGACAGCCAGGAUGUUGGCUUAGAAGCAGCCAUCAUUUAAAGAAAGCGUAAUAGCUCACUGGUCGAGUCGGCCUGCGCGGAAGAUGUAACGGGGCUAAACCAUGCACCGAAGCUGCGGCAGCGAACGUAUCACCCAAGACAACUUUACGGAGUUGACGAUUGACGGAGCGAAGCGACGUCAAAGCGUUCAUUAAAGUCGAGUUGGCUUAGGGAUACGUUCGUUGGGUAGGGGAGCGUUCUGUAAGCCUGUGAAGGUGUGUCGUGAGGCAUGCUGGAGGUAUCAGAAGUGCGAAUGCUGACAUAAGUAACGAUAAAGCGGGUGAAAAGCCCGCUCGCCGGAAGACCAAGGGUUCCUGUCCAACGUUAAUCGGGGCAGGGUGAGUCGACCCCUAAGGCGAGGCCGAAAGGCGUAGUCGAUGGGAAACGGGUUAAUAUUCCCGUACUUGGUGUUACUGCGAAGGGGGGACGGAGAAGGCUAUGUUGGCCGGGCGACGGUUGUCCCGGUUUAAGCGUGUAGGUGUGUGUUCCAGGUAAAUCCGGUUCACUUUAACACUGAGGCGUGAUGACGAGGCACUACGGUGCUGAAGCAACAAAUGCCCUGCUUCCAGGAAAAGCCUCUAAGCAUCAGGUAACAUCAAAUCGUACCCCAAACCGACACAGGUGGUCAGGUAGAGAAUACCAAGGCGCUUGAGAGAACUCGGGUGAAGGAACUAGGCAAAAUGGUGCCGUAACUUCGGGAGAAGGCACGCUGACACGUAGGUGAAGUGAUUUACUCACGGAGCUGAAGUCAGUCGAAGAUACCAGCUGGCUGCAACUGUUUAUUAAAAACACAGCACUGUGCAAACACGAAAGUGGACGUAUACGGUGUGACGCCUGCCCGGUGCCGGAAGGUUAAUUGAUGGGGUCAGCGCAAGCGAAGCUCCUGAUCGAAGCCCCGGUAAACGGCGGCCGUAACUAUAACGGUCCUAAGGUAGCGAAAUUCCUUGUCGGGUAAGUUCCGACCUGCACGAAUGGCGUAAUGAUGGCCAGGCUGUCUCCACCCGAGACUCAGUGAAAUUGAACUCGCUGUGAAGAUGCAGUGUACCCGCGGCAAGACGGAAAGACCCCGUGAACCUUUACUAUAGCUUGACACUGAACAUUGAGCCUUGAUGUGUAGGAUAGGUGGGAGGCUUUGAAGUGUGGACGCCAGUCUGCAUGGAGCCGACCUUGAAAUACCACCCUUUAAUGUUUGAUGUUCUAACGUGGACCCGUAAUCCGGGUUGCGGACAGUGUCUGGUGGGUAGUUUGACUGGGGCGGUCUCCUCCUAAAGAGUAACGGAGGAGCACGAAGGUUGGCUAAUCCUGGUCGGACAUCAGGAGGUUAGUGCAAUGGCAUAAGCCAGCUUGACUGCGAGCGUGACGGCGCGAGCAGGUGCGAAAGCAGGUCAUAGUGAUCCGGUGGUUCUGAAUGGAAGGGCCAUCGCUCAACGGAUAAAAGGUACUCCGGGGAUAACAGGCUGAUACCGCCCAAGAGUUCAUAUCGACGGCGGUGUUUGGCACCUCGAUGUCGGCUCAUCACAUCCUGGGGCUGAAGUAGGUCCCAAGGGUAUGGCUGUUCGCCAUUUAAAGUGGUACGCGAGCUGGGUUUAGAACGUCGUGAGACAGUUCGGUCCCUAUCUGCCGUGGGCGCUGGAGAACUGAGGGGGGCUGCUCCUAGUACGAGAGGACCGGAGUGGACGCAUCACUGGUGUUCGGGUUGUCAUGCCAAUGGCACUGCCCGGUAGCUAAAUGCGGAAGAGAUAAGUGCUGAAAGCAUCUAAGCACGAAACUUGCCCCGAGAUGAGUUCUCCCUGAGACUUAGAGUCUCCUGAAGGAACG
rnacentral:rRNA from 1 species